AAAUGGCCUCUGCUGUUCAAAGGGGUCGCUGCAGCUUACAUAAAAGACACCAACUCCUUAAAACCAUAUCCGAUUCUUCAACCUGAUUACUAUUCUGUGUCAAUUUUUGCUUUUUUAUUUUAAUACCUGUAAUAACUUGAAAGAGGAUUGUAUCAUCCCACACACAUGCAUUAUUGCUCUUCCGUAGUCGGUAUAAGUUACCAUCAAGCCUUGACUAGAAUAACCUCUGUAUUGACAAAACAUUGUGCUUACGCUUGGCAGUGCUAAAAUAGUAAUGAAAUGCUGUACCCAGGUGAAAAUAUGGACAUACAUGUAUUUUAAAGUAAUGAGAUGAGAUUUCACCUGGGGCUCCACUGAGAUUAUUUUGAGUGGAAAUGUAGUGUAUGCUGGGGUGUCCCUCCUUGAGUCACGGUGAUGGACCCGAUGACCUCUGGAAGUUUCCUGCAACCUCACCCACUUUGUGAUUCAGUGGCUCUGUUAGUGGCACAUUGCUGCUGCUUUUGCAAACAAGCACAGGAAGAGAAAUACCUCAGGGAGCAAAUCUCAUUUAAUGAUUUGUAAAGAUAUUAAAAAUAGGUCUUCUAUGGAGAGCUUUGCUUUAACAGAUCAGGACUGAAAAAAAAAGUUUGGCUUUACCUUUCUGCUCUCUCAGAAUGGCUUUGAAAAUAUGUAGGAAAUUUCAGGACAGAUAUGGGCAAGCUGGCUGCAGUUCUGUACAGAGGAGACAGCACAAGAAGGUGAAUGAAAUAAGUAAAUAUAGAAGAACUAGAAGGUACGCUAAAAAGAAGGCUUGAAAUCUCCCGACCAGCGAGUCUAAUAUGUUGAAAGAACAAAAUGAUGUGAAUGUUUGGCAGAUGCAGGACUUGCUGUUGCUGCCCCAGGUUAUGACUGGAGUAAUGUGGUUUUCAGGCAGACACCUCUGAGACUGCCUCACCUUGCAAAUGAAGCUUCAGGUGGGUGGCAAACAGCUCAUAUUCUCUGUGGCAUACCUGGUUCUGUAGGUGCCCCAGAUGACCUGGCUGAGUUUUCACCCCUGAGUUCACCAGAACAACAUUCAUCACCUGGAUGUAAUACAGGGCCAGCUUUCUUUCAUCUAAUUCCCAGACUGUUUAGGAAAUAUUUCACCUUUUGCACCAUCCAUGCAGAGAUGUCUGUGGCUUUUUCCACAUGAAGUUGCUGGCAACAAAAAUGAGCUUCGUGACAGCAAGGAGGAGUUUGCUUGAACAAAAGCAGGGUGAGACCAGCUGAAAUACUUCACCAGCUUUCAGGCACUGACCUUGGCUGGAAAUGUGGACCCACUGGAGAGAAUUUAGAGAGCAGUAAAAUGAACAUGAGGGUCAGGAAAUGAGGAAAGGUUGAGAGCAGUGGGUAUGCUUAAUCUAGAAAAUGAAACAUUUAGUAAGGAACACGAGAAGUUUUCCAUUAUAUAAAAGGUUGCUAUUUGAGAAGAUAAAGAUCAGUUGUUCUUCUUGAUUCUUUAGGAAGAGCAGAAUGAAAUCAGAAUUAUUUUUGCUUCCUCUGCAAUUAAAAAGUCUCAGACUGGAUACUGUGUAAAGUAUGUCCUAUGCUGAAGUAGUAAUAUUCCUGCCAGACUGCUUGAGGAUGUAUAACAUCCUAAUUUCUUAUUAGUUUGUUACCAGAAAUCUCAAUGGCUAAAACAUGUUUAUGAAACACUAACUUUGCUUUUCGGAAGUUCGUGAAGUGCCUUCGGGACACACAGGGCUACUGAGUAAUUUCUAGAUAAAAUGAACAAAGAUGUUUUGUUCCUAACAAUAUGUGCUUCUAAUUAUCUUGAGAGCUCUGUCGGAGUGGCUCAUCCUUUCAGAACUAAUUCUGAUACUGAGCUUUAGAGAGAAUUAGACGUGCUACAGUCCAGUCAACACAAGGAAAGUAACUUGGAAAAUUAAAAACUCCUAAGGAAGUUAAACAAGGGAAAUGAUUGAUUAUGUGGUUAAUGAAAAGAAUGUCUGAAGAUGCUGUAGGAAGAAGAAACAGUUGCGGGCAUGUGACAAAGUGACCUCGACAAAGCUAUGCAUGCAGGUGAUGAAGAAAAAUCUUCCUAACAGAGAGCUGUAAAAGAGCUGGGUGGAAGCAGGAGAGUGGGCAGAUUAAAGCAGUGGCAGAUGAAGUGUAGGAGGCAGCAAAGAAAAGCUGCAAAAUACAUGAGGAUGAAGGAAAGGUUUUCCUUCCCACUUCCUUACGUUACAAGAUAGGCCUGCUUGAAAGAACUGAAAAAGAAAACAGAAAAUAUUCUUCAGCCUUGAGAUGCCUUGUAUGGUUCCUGAGGAAGACAUAGUGUCAUCAGAAACCACUACCUCACUCCAGGAAUGCCUGUUCAGAUAUACUUCUGGAUACCACAAACCGUAUCUGGAGCUCACGUUCCUAACCCUGUAGCUACCUGUGUGUACACAGAAAAGUCUUGCAUGUUAUUUCUAUGCCUCUGUUGAAUCCUGAAUUUGCAGUUUAAUGAUUCCAUUCCUUCAUUUUAAUUUCGUUAGCUCUAUUACUGCAUGUGUUUCUCCCUUGCUAAAGUUACAAGAUGACUGGUGACCUUGCCUUAAAAUGCGUAAGUGACAUAACCACCAUACUACUUCUUUGGUACGUAUCUCUUAUUCUAGAAUUGGAGCAGGUGCUUCGCUUUUUAAAUCUAACAGCUACAUAUAUGUAAACACUAGCUAUAUAUAUAUAUAUAUAUGUAGCUAUAUAUAUAUUGUACAUAUAUAUACCAUAUGUACAUAUAUAUACAUAUGUACAAAUAGGGUUAUGGCUGUUGGCAUGGUCACAUCUGCACUAUAAAACUCUUAUAGCUACCAAAAAAGGACCACACCCAAAUCUGCAUGGGCAAUGUAUCCUUGGCCAUGCUGGAACCAACUUGUACACAGGAAUUGUUUGGGAAAAAUGGCAUGUCCUAGCCCAAAAGAGGGCCAAGGAGCACUCUAAGACUAUGACAGCGUUGAUGAGUGAAUCUCUGGGAGUCUCCUGUUCUAUUCAUGACUAG
ensembl:lncRNA